GGCGGGAAAGUAUAGAGAUUGUACGUCGGUAUGUGGCUCCGAAAGCGUUUAUUUUUAGCUCCUGCUU
rnacentral:tRNA from 1 species